UACGGAGGGUGCAAGCGUUACCCGGAAUCACUGGGCGUAAAGGGCGCGUAGGCGGCCUAGCAAGUCUGGUGUGAAAGCCCAGGGCUCAACCCUGGAAGGGCACUGGAAACUGUUAGGCUUGAGUUCCGGAGAGGAGGGGGGAAUUCCCGGUGUAGCGGUGAAAUGCGUAGAUAUCGGGAGGAAUACCGGUGGCGAAGGCGCCCCUCUGGACGGAAACUGACGCUGAGGCGCGAAAGCGUGGGGAGCAAACAGG
rnacentral:rRNA from 1 species